rnacentral:rRNA from 1 species
AUUCCUCGGAUCGACGAGCCGCCCUCGACGCGACCCCAGGUCAGGCGGGGCCACCC